GCUUGUCUCAAAGAUUAAGCCAUGCAUGUCUAAGUAUAACUCUUUUACUUUGAAAACUGCGAACGGCUCAUUAAAACAGUUAUAGUUUAUUUGAUACAUUUUAAAUGGAUAACUGUAGAAACACUAGAGCUAAUACAUGCUAAGACCGUAAGGUUGUAUUUAUUAGAUAUACCGAGUAGGUGAAUCAUAAUAACUUCGCAAAUCGCAGUAAUACUGCGAUAAAUCAUUCAAGUUUCUGCCCUAUCAUGCUCUCGAUGGUAGUGUAUUGGACUACCAUGGCUCUCACGGGUAACGGGGAAUUAGGGUUCGAUUCCGGAGAAGGAGCCUGAGAAACGGCUACUACAUCUAAGGAAGGCAGCAGG
rnacentral:rRNA from 1 species